rnacentral:ncRNA from 2 species
CCGAAGGUUCGUGGCGAUUUCCCGGCAACUUGCGGCCACGUUAAACAAUCCGCUAAAGCGCCCGCCCGGCGCAUCCA